rnacentral:rRNA from 1 species
UAACACAUGCAAGUCGAACGAAGUAGCAAUACUUAGUGGCAGACGGGUGAGUAACAUGUAGGUAUCUGCCCUUUGGCCUGGAAUAACACGAGGAAACUUGUGCUAAUACCGGAUAAGUCUUUACGGAGAAAGCUUUAUGCACCAUUCGGAUGAACCCGCACUUGAUUAGUUUGUUGGUAGGGUAAUGGCCUACCAAGACUAUGAUCAAUAGUUGAUUUGAGAGGAUGAUCAGCCACAUUGGGACUGAGACACGGCCCAAACUCCUACGGGAGGCAGCAGUGGGGAAUCUUGCACAAUGGAGGAAACUCUGAUGCAGCGAUGCCGCGUGAGUGAAGAAGGCCUUUGGGUUGUAAAGCUCUUUCGUCGGGGAAGAAAAUGACUGUACCCGAAUAAGAAGGUCCGGCUAACUUCGUGCCAGCAGCCGCGGUAAUACGAAGGGACCUAGCGUAGUUCGGAAUUACUGGGCUUAAAGAGUUCGUAGGUGGUUGAAAAAGUUGGUGGUGAAAUCCCAGAGCUUAACUCUGGAACUGCCAUCAAAACUUUUCAGCUAGAGUAUGAUAGAGGAAAGCAGAAUUUCUAGUGUAGAGGUGAAAUUCGUAGAUAUUAGAAAGAAUACCAAUUGCGAAGGCAGCUUUCUGGAUCAUUACUGACACUGAGGAACGAAAGCAUGGGUAGCGAAGAGGAUUAGAUACCCUCGUAGUCCAUGCCGUAAACGAUGUGUGUUAGACGUUGGAAAUUUAUUUUCAGUGUCGCAGGGAAACCGAUAAACACACCGCCUGGGGAGUACGACCGCAAGGUUAAAACUCAAAUGAAUUGACGGGGACCCGCACAAGUAGUGGAGCAUGUGGUUUAAUUCGAAGAUACGCGCAGAACCUUACCAACACUUGACAUGUUCGUCGCGACUCUAAGAGAUUAGAGUUUUCGGUUCGGCCGGACGAAACACAGGUGCUGCAUGGCUGUCGUCAGCUCGUGUCGUGAGAUGUUGGGUUAAGUCCCGCAACGAGCGCAACCCUCACUUUUAGUUGCCAUCAUUAAGUUGGGCACUCUGAAAGAACUGCCAGUGAUAAGCUGGAGGAAGGUGGGGAUGACGUCAAGUCCUCAUGGCCCUUACGUGUUGGGCUACACACGUGCUACAAUGGCAUCUACAACAGGAAGCAAAACGGCAACGUUAAGCAAAUCCCGAAAAGAUGCCUCAGUUCGGAUUGCACUCUGCAACUCGAGUGCAUGAAGCUGGAAUUACUAGUAAUCGUGGAUCAGCGUGCCACGGUGAAUGCGUUCCCGGGUCUUGUACACACCGCCCGUCACACCAUGGGAGUUGGUUCUACCUUAAGGCAAGGUUUUAAACCCUUGACCACGGUAUAGUCAGCGACUGGGGUG